UAAAAAUGUAAAUUUUAAACUAAAUUAUUAAUAGAUAUAUACUUUAAAAUUAAAAAAUUUGGCAGUAUUUUUGGUCUAUUCAGAGGAAUCUGUUCUUUAAUUGAUAUUCCACGAUUAAUUAAACUUAAAUUAUUAAUUUGUAUAUCGUUGUAGUUGAAUAUUUUAGGAGAAUUAUAAUAUUCAAGAUUAAUUAUUAUUUAAAACAUCAAAUCAAGGUGCAGUUAUAUUUAAGUAGAAAUGGAUUACAAUAAAAUUAUUUAUACAGUUUAUAAAAUUAAAAUUUUAUAUUAAGGUGGAUUUGAUAGUAAUUUAAUUUAGUUUAAUUAAAUGAUUUUAGUUCUAAAAUAUGU
rnacentral:rRNA from 1 species